AGAAAAUAAUAAAAUUGAAAGCUUGAUAUCUAAUAACUGUAAUCUACAAAAGGAAGUUGAAAAAAAAAAAGCAAAGCUUGGAAAAAAGACUAAAAAAACAGAUAAUUUGAAGAAAACAGUCUCCACAUUGACUACGGAUAUAAG